rnacentral:rRNA from 1 species
AGUCACUGACAUUAGAUACCCCUGUAGUCCUAGCCGUAAACGAUACUCGCUAGGUGUCGGCCACGGUGCGACCGUUGUCGGUGCCGUAGGGAAGCCGUGAAGCGAGCCACCUGGGAAGUACCGGCCGCAAGGCUGAAACUUAAAGGAAUUGGCGGGGGAGCACCACAACGGGUGGAGCUUGCGGUUUAAUUGGAUUCAACGCCGGAAAUCUUACCGGGACCGACAGCAACAUGAAGGCCAGGCUGAAGACUUUGCCGGAUUAGCUG